rnacentral:lncRNA from 1 species
CCAUGCAGUCUCCCCUACUAGCCUCCCCUCCUGAUCGUACUCCACCAUAACCUGAUGUUGGCGGUUCUAUAUAUGCGGCAUGCAUGUAGGACCGUGAAAUGUCCUACUGGAUGAUGCACCUACAAUGAAAAUAUAUUAUGAAUAUAUAAGAGUAUGUAAUAACUAUACAAUAAAUAAAUAAAUAAAUAAAUGAUUGACACAAUGAAAACCUACUCUCACUG